rnacentral:rRNA from 1 species
CCUACGGGUGGCAGCAGUGGGGCAUAUUGCACAAUGGGCGAAAGCCUGCUGCAGCAACGCCGCGUGAGCGAUGACGGCCUUAGGGUCGUACAGCUCUGUCCUCAAGGCAGAUAAUGACGGUACUUGAGGAGGAAGACCCGGCUAACUACGUGCCAGCAGCCGCGGUAAUACGUAGGGGGCUAGGGUUAUCCGGAAUUACUGGGCGUAAAGGGUGCGUAGGUGGUUUCUUAAGUCAGAGGUGAAAGGCCAUGGCUCAACCGUAUUAAGCCUUUGAAACUGGGGACCUUGAGUGCAGGAGAGGAGGGUGGAAUUCCUAGUGUAGCGGUGAAAUGCGUAGAUAUUAGGAGGAACACCAGUUGCGAAGGCGGCUCUCUGGACUGUAACUGACACUGAGGCACGAAAGCGUGGGGAGCAAACAGGAUGAGAGACCCGAGUAGUC